rnacentral:rRNA from 1 species
ACACUCCUACGGGAGGCAGCAGUGGGGAAUUUUGGACAAUGGGCGAAAGCCUGAUCCAGCAAUGCCGCGUGUGUGAAGAAGGCCUUCGGGUUGUAAAGCACUUUUGUCCGGAAAGAAAUCCUUGGCUCUAAUACAGUCGGGGGAUGACGGUACCGGAAGAAUAAGCACCGGCUAACUACGUGCCAGCAGCCGCGGUAAUACGUAGGGUGCGAGCGUUAAUCGGAAUUACUGGGCGUAAAGCGUGCGCAGGCGGUUUGCUAAGACCGAUGUGAAAUCCCCGGGCUCAACCUGGGAACUGCAUUGGUGACUGGCAGGCUAGAGUAUGGCAGAGGGGGGUAGAAUGCCACGUGUAGCAGUGAAAUGCGUAGAGAUGUGGAGGAAUACCGAUGGCGAAGGCAGCCCCCUGGGCCAAUACUGACGCUCAUGCACGAAAGCGUGGGGAGCAAACAGGAUUAGAUACCCCUGUAGUCCCAUGAU